UAUGUUUUUUAUGUCUUAUUUUGCAGGAAACCUAGUUUUGGGAGCUAAAAAGAACAGUAGAAGUUUGGGAUACCUAUAUUGGCACCUACCUGGCAUAAGUGACACCUACGUAUUGUAGGUGCCACCGAUAUGGCCUUGGUAUCAGAGUAAGUGUCAAAAGGUUGAAAUUUAGAGAAUCAGAAGUUGAGAAUUGUGUAUUGCCACCUACGAAGGGCCACUUACGGCCCG
rnacentral:lncRNA from 1 species